rnacentral:rRNA from 1 species
GACGAACGCUGGCGGCGUGCUUAACACAUGCAAGUCGAACGGAAAGGCCCUGCUUUUGUGGGGUGCUCGAGUGGCGAACGGGUGAGUAACACGUGAGUAACCUGCCCUUGACUUUGGGAUAACUUCAGGAAACUGGGGCUAAUACCGGAUAGGAGCUCCUGCUGCAUGGUGGGGGUUGGAAAGUUUCGGCGGUUGGGGAUGGACUCGCGGCUUAUCAGCUUGUUGGUGGGGUAGUGGCUUACCAAGGCUUUGACGGGUAGCCGGCCUGAGAGGGUGACCGGCCAAAUGGGGAAUGAGAUACGGCCAAGACCCCUACGGGGGGCAGGGGGGGGGAAUUUGGCACAAGGGGCGGAGGCCGGAUGCAGAAACGCCGCGGGGGGGAUGACGGCCUUGGGGUUGUAAACCGCUUUCGCCUGUGACGAAGGGUGGGGGAGGGUAAUGGGGAAAGAAGCACCGGCUAACUACGU